CCUACGGGAGGCUGCAGUGGGGAAUAUUGGGCAAUGGAGGCAACUCUGACCCAGCAACGCCGCGUGAAUGAUGAAGGUCUUCGGAUUGUAAAGUUCUGUGAUGGGGGAUGAACACAAUGACGGUACCCCAAUAGCAAGCCACGGCUAACUACGUGCCAGCAGCCGCGGUAAUACGUAGGUGGCAAGCGGUAUGCGGAAUGACGGGGCGUAAAGGGUGCGGAGGGUGGUGUGUAAGUUGGCGGUGUAAUUCCGGGGCAUAACCUUGGCUCUACCGCCGAAACUAGUAGACUAGAGUGCAGGAGGGGUAAGUAGAAUUCCUGGUGUAGCGGUGGAAUGCGUAGAUAUUAGGAGGAACAUCAGGGGCGAAGGCGACUUACUGGACUGUAACUGACACUGAGGCACGAAAGCGUGGGGAGCAAACAGGAGUAGAUACCCCUGUAGUC
rnacentral:rRNA from 1 species